rnacentral:rRNA from 1 species
GUAGGAGGCGAGCGUUAUCCGGAUUUACUGGGCGUAAAGCGCGUGCAGGCGGUCCCUUAAGUCGGACGUGAAAGCUCCUGGCUCAACUAGGAGAGGUCGUUCGAAACUAGGGGACUUGAGGAUGGUAGAGGAGAGUGGAAUUCCCGGUGUAGUGGUGAAAUGCGUAGAUAUCGGGAGGAACACCAGUGGCGAAGGCGGCUCUCUGGGCUACUCCUGACGCUAAGACGCGAAAGCUAGGGGAGAGAACGGGAUUAGAAACCCCGGGUAUUCCUAGCCGUAAACGAUGUCAACUAGGUGUAGGGGGUAUCCCAACCCCCCCCUGUGCUGCAGCUAACGCGUUAAGUUGACCGCCUGGGGACUACGGCCGCAAGGCUAA